rnacentral:lncRNA from 1 species
UGGUAAGCCAAGCCACUCGCUAUGAUUAUAUUACUAGACCUACACUUGUUAGUAUUGCAUUUGCUUUUUUUUUUUUGUUCAGUUACCACACUUGGGCGGUGAUUCAUUAUUUAGAUUUACAUUUGGGGAGGCUUUAACCAUGUACAGGCUUCUACAAAGAUUUCACAAACUGUUUAUUACGCAUGAUCACCUUCACCUUCACCUUCACCUUCACCUUCACCUUCUCAACGAGAUCCAUCCUACCCCAAUGAAAAGUAACAAAUAUAAACAUAGGUAACAUGUAUAAUUAUGCUUGGGUGUACAACACUCUCUCUGUAAGUUCAGUUUGGCUGGCAAAACAUUUUGGGGCUUUCUGCUGGGGGCAGGCUGAGAUAAGCUGUUGGGCUUCAAAAGCCCAAACUUCAAUGAAGCUUCUUUUCUGCUGCAAUGGGGAGCUUCUUAGGAGAUUUUUGUGAGAAACUUGUUAGUGCUUCUUUGAGCAACUCUUAAUUAACAGUGCUUCUGCAGAAGCUUCAGUGAGACCAAGGAGGCCCUUAAUUUACCACUUUAACAUGCUCUUAUCUCCAACAACAUUUAUAUAACUAAC